AUACGUAGGGGGCAAGCAUUAUCCGGAUUUAUUGGGCUUAAAGGGUGCGUAGGCGGUUUGUUAAGCGGGAGGUGAAAUGCCGGCGCUCAACGUCGGAAGUGCCUCCCGAACUGGUGGACUGGAAUGACUCUGCCGUGGGAGGAAUGUGUAGUGUAGCGGUGAAAUGCUUAGAGAUUACACAGAAAACCGAUUGCGAAGGCAUCUCACGAAGGGUUGAUUGACGCUGUGGCACGAAAGCGUGGGGAUCAAACAGGAUUAGAUACCCUGGUAGUCCACGCGGUAAACGAUGAUGGCUAACCGCUGGUUUUUUCGGAUCAGUGGCCAAGCGAAAGCGAUAAGCCAUCCACCUGGGGAGUACGACCGCAAGGUUGAAACUCAAAUGAAUUGGCGGGG
rnacentral:rRNA from 1 species